rnacentral:lncRNA from 1 species
UGCCCAGCCAGACUGCGGCAGUGAAGGCUGAGGAUAUAGAUGAGUAAGUAGUAGAGAGUUGCCUAGUAUGCACAAGGCCCUGGAUUUAAUAUCCAGUACUUCCCCCCACAAAAUAACAAAAAAGAAAAUGUGAUAUCAAAGGAAAUGGAAUACAUGGAUUUUUAUGUGUGUCAGAGCCUGGUUUGUGAUGUUGGCCAAGGCUUCAGUUUAUUUAGUAUUUCUCCCCUUCUCCAGUACUGGGGAUUGGACACAGGGACAGUAUACCACUGGGGUACAUCCACAGUACUUUCUGUUUUCUUCUUGAGACAUCAUCCCACUAAGUUACCCACACUGGCCUCAAACUUGGCACUCUACCACUGAGCUACAUC